GAUGAACGCUGGCGGCGUGCCUAAUACAUGCAAGUCGAGCGAACAGACGAGGAGCUUGCUCCUCUGACGUUAGCGGCGGACGGGUGAGUAACACGUGGAUAACCUACCUAUAAGACUGGGAUAACUUCGGGAAACCGGAGCUAAUACCGGAUAAUAUAUUGAACCGCAUGGUUCAAUAGUGAAAGACGGUUUUGCUGUCACUUAUAGAUGGAUCCGCGCCGCAUUAGCUAGUUGGUAAGGUAACGGCUUACCAAGGCAACGAUUCGUAGCCGACCUGAGAGGGUGAUCGGCCACACUGGAACUGAGACACGGUCCAGACUCCUACGGGAGGCAGCAGUAGGGAAUAUUCCGCAAUGGGCGAAAGCCUGACGGAGCAACGCCGCGUGAGUGAUGAAGGUCUUCGGAUCGUAAAACUCUGUUAUUAGGGAAGAACAAAUGUGUAAGUAACUAUGCACGUCUUGACGGUACCUAAUCAGAAAGCCACGGCUAACUACGUG
rnacentral:rRNA from 1 species